ACGGCUCAGUAACACGUAGUCAACAUGCCCAGGGGACGUGGAUGACCUCGGGAAACUGAGGAUAAACCGCGAUAAGUCACUACUUCUGGAAUGGGUAAUGACUAGAAUCUACAUGGCCCCUGGAUUGGACUGCGGCCGAUCAGGCUGUUGGUGAGGUAAUGGCCCACCAAACCUGUAACCGGUACGGGCUCUGAGAGGAGGAGCCCGGAGAUGGGCACUGAGACAAGGGCCCAGGCCCUAUGGGGCGCAGCAGGCGCGAAACCUCUGCAAUAGGCGAAAGCCUGACAGGGUUACUCUGAGUGAUUUCCGUUAAGGAGAUCUUUUGGCACCUCUAAAAAUGGUGCAGAAUAAGGGGUGGGCAAGUCUGGUGUCAGCCGCCGCGGUAAUACCAGCACCCCGAGUGGUCGGGACGUUUAUUGGGCCUAAAGCAUCCGUAGCCGGUUCUACAAGUCUUCCGUUAAAUCCACCUGCUUAACAGAUGGGCUGCGGAAGAUACUAUAGAGCUAGGAGGCGGGAGAGGCAAGCGGUACUCGAUGGGUAGGGGUAAAAUCCGUUGAUCCAUUGAAGACCACCAGUGGCGAAGGCGGCUUGCCAGAACGCGCUCGACGGUGAGGGAUGAAAGCUGGGGGAGCAAACCGGAUUAGAUACCCGGGUAGUCCCAGCUGUAAACGAUGCAGACUCGGUGAUGAGUUGGCUUCUUGCCAACUCAGUGCCGCAGGGAAGCCGUUAAGUUUGCCGCCUGGGGAGUACGGUCGCAAGACUGAAACUUAAAGGAAUUGGCGGGGGAGCAC
rnacentral:rRNA from 1 species